rnacentral:lncRNA from 1 species
ACCCACGAGAAUGGGAGGAUUGGCCCCGCGGAGCCUCCGUAGCUCGGGGGCGCACGUGGGCGCCGGCCACGCCCCCCCGGUUCCCUAGGCAACCACACCUGCCCCGCCCGGUCUCCCGCGGUCGUUGGCGCGGAGCGAUGGCGGCUCCGUGACGUCAUCGCCGCGCGCCGCCAGGACACCGGCUGGGAGCGCGCCGGCCGCGGCCACUGGUGGGGGCGGGUGCCCUCGCCUCCGGUGGGUUGGAAGGGCGCGCGUGGGCUGCGCGGCGGGGCCCUGGCCGGCCACCCACGGAGGCCCGGAGCCGCACCCCCAAGGGAGGGCGUGUAGGGGACCCCUCGCUGGGCUUAGCCGUCCUCGUUCUAGUCAUAUGCGACCCUCACGACCACCCUGGGAGGGUCACCAUGAUGACAUCCAAGCCAAAGAGAAUUAAGUUUUCUGAGGAAGAGAAGAUUGUGAUCUUGGAAGAGUUCAGCCUGCGGAAGGACAUUCUCAUCCCCAAGACAGGCCGCUACCGCAACACGUCGGACCGGCAGCAAGCCUGGGAAGAGAUCACGAUGGCCGUGAACUCGCUGAACCCCCUUGUGCAGCGCACACCCGAAGAGGUCCGCAAGAAGUGGAAGAACAUGAUCCUUGACGCCCGCAAGGAGCUGGCCACCGCAAAGCACCCCCUCCUCCGGCGGCGCCCCCAGGAGCGCCUCUUCCAUAACAUCUUUGCCCUCUUCAAUAAGACAGGCUCUGAGCUCCCCGAACCGCUGUAUGCGGCCGGCCCCGGCUUUCGGACUAAAGGUCCCGCUAGCCCCUCGGGGCCUGCCUGCAAGGUGGAAGGCUUUCUGGACCCCGUUGUGCCCAACUUGGUGCUCCGGCCCCAGGGUGGUGGGAUAGAGCCCGGCCAGGAGAGGGAGGGUCUCUGUCAGAUUGAGAUGGGCAGAAAACUAGACUCUUGGCCCGAAGUCACAGGGAAGAGCCUCCUCCCACCCCCUGUGGAGGUUCAGGCCCGAUUCAAGGAGGACAGUCUAACCGAGGAUGCCUCCGACUAUGGCGAGAAGAGGCUGUUAGACCCGCUGAAAGACUUGCCUCUGCACUGUGAGCCCGUGCCCCAGGUGCAUCCCGUCGCGGCCAGCAGGGCAGUGUCACCGGAGGGCCCAUCCGGGGACGUGCCCCCUCUCUGUGUGAUGCCAGUGCCAGCAAGCCCAUCUCCAGACCCGGCUCUGACUUAUAAGAUUAAAUGUCCCGUGAGUCCUUUGCUAGACUGGCCCUGUUUGGGAGUGAGCUCGAGCCCCGUCACGCCCAGCGGCCGCAUGGACGCUCUGAGCACGGAAGGGAUCCACACGGCCAUAAACGACAAUGUGAGCGGCUCGGUGGUGACUGCGGAGGAGGAUUUGCUGCCAGGUCCCCGGCCCAGCGAGGAGGGGCUCCCAGAGAAGGAUGCUGGGGAACUGGCCAAGCAGAGCCGCCUCCAGACAGAGAUACUGGAGCUGCAGAAGGAGACACUGCAGCUGCAGAAAGAGAAGAUUCUGCUGGAAAAGGAGAAACUGGUCCUGGAGAUUGUCAAGCUGAGGCGGGAGCUGGGCACCUGAGCUGCCUGGCCCUGCCUGCCUGCCACCCACAGCCCGAACUCCUGCCCACGCCCAGAGGCCUUCUCCUUCACAGUGCCUAUCUGGGCCUGCCCAGGCGAAGCCGCCACCCCCUCCUCCUCUGCUGUCCCUCAGCAGUUACCCCCACUCUGGGGCAAGAGGGUGGGCUCUCUGUGGCCUGCUCCUGGAAAGAAGCCCCAGGAGUCCUGUUUGGGUUGGGCUGGGAAGGGUGUGAGAGGCUCCCAGCCCAGACUUUGCUCCGCAGAGCUCUGCCUGGGCUGUGUGGGGUCAGAAACCUGAAGCAAGAGCUCAGAGCCCCUUAGCAGGUGCCAGGGGGUGGGGAUGAGCACAUGUGGCCUCGGCUCCCAGCCAGCCCUCUGCCCCAGGUCAGGAGGUCCAGCGUGCAGGACAGGCCUCCACUGGCCAUUGGUCAGGUCAACAAGGAUCCAUUUCUCAGGCCCCCAGCUGUGGGCUAAAGGGACAGGCUCGUGGAUCCCUGUGCCAGGAGCCCGGGCCUCCUGGGGCUGCUGUCAGAGAAGUAAAAGCAUCCAGGUUUCCUUAUCACUGGGUCUGCCUCCCUGACUUUUCUGAUUCAGCCUCCCUUAUUUAUGGGAGGAACACUGGUUAGGCAGCCUUGGCAAGCCCUCUGUGGGGUGCCUAGCUGUCUGUCCACGCAGGAAAAUCACCCUUGCCGCCCGCCCAGGAAAGUCUACUAGGCAGGGCUAGAAGGGCCCUGGGAGCCCAAGGCCUUGUAGGACAGAGAAGGAAAGGGAGACUGGAGAGGGGAGAAGCUCGUGUCCCUCGUCGAGCGCCCUUGCUACGACCAGGGCUGGCGCAGGCACUGACCCCCAGCUGACCUUGGUUUUUGUCUCAUCUGCCCUCCUGGUCUCUGUGGGAUUUGUGAGAACCCUGGAGGGUUAGAGGCAAGAGCUGCUGUGGAGAUUGGUCUGUUGUGUGCUGGAAGGCUCUCCAGCGUGGUGUAUUGGAGAGAACCCAGAAUUGG